rnacentral:rRNA from 1 species
CCUACGGGUGGCAGCAGUGAGGAAUAUUGGUCAAUGGGCGGAAGACUGAACCAGCCAAGUAGCGUGCAGGAUGACGGCACUACGGGUUGUAAACUGCUUUUAUCCGGGAAUAAAGCCCCUUACGUGUAGCGCUUUGCAUGUACCGUAUGAAUAAGGACCGGCUAAUUCCGUGCCAGCAGCCGCGGUAAUACGGAAGGUCCGGGCGUUAUCCGGAUUUAUUGGGUUUAAAGGGAGCGUAGGCCGCAUGUCAAGCGCGCUGGUAAAUGCCCGGGCACAACCCCGGCCUUGCGGCGCGAACUGGCGGGCUUGAGUCCGAGGAAAGCAGGCGGAAUGCGUGGUGUAGCGGGGAAAUGCUUAGAU